rnacentral:rRNA from 1 species
AUGGAUCUGUCCACAACCUCUGUUAUGGCGGCUAAGGCCUACUCGUACAAAGCAGAGUCACUGGUUAAGGAAUACCUUCUUGCAGAUGCAUAUGUUUCGUACACUGCUAUGCUUGGUGGGAUCCUGAUGUGCAAGAUGGUCUAUGACAUCACACACUUAGUCAGCUCAUUCUUCUACAAGUGUUAUGCUUCUCUUACAAAAGCCCAAAAGCUUGAGUGGAACAACAGGGGCAUCUCCACUGUCCAUGCAAUUUUCAUCACAUUCAUGUCAGUGUACCUAGUAUUCUUCUCCGACCUAUACUCUGAUAAGCUGGAUGGACCAGUAACUUUCCGGAGUUCAAACCUCUCUAAUAUUACACUAGCGGUAUCUGUCGGGUACUUCAUCACUGACAUUGCUAUGAUAUUUUGGGUUUAUCCUUCCCUAGGUGGAAUGGAGUAUGUUCUUCAUCACUUCCUGUCACUUGUUUCCAUAGUCUAUUCUGUGAAUUCUGGGGAAGGCCAGUUGUAUACAUACAUGGUUCUUAUCUCUGAAGGAACCACACCUGGAAUCAACCUCCGCUGGUAUCUUGAUACUGCUGGACUGAAAAGAUCCAAGGCCUAUGUUGUGAACGGUAGCUUUAUGGUUGUUGCAUGGCUGGUGGCACGGAUAAUUCUCUUCAUCUACUUGUUCUACCACAUCUACUUCCACUAUGAUGACGUGAUGCAGAUGCGGACCUUCAGCCGCGUUCUGAUAUUUGGCGUGCCCACAAUACUACUCAUCAUGAACACGGUAUGGUUUGCAAAAAUCUUGAGAGGCCUUAAAAAGACGCUAACUAAGAGGGAGUGA